AUGGGAAGGUCAGAAAGGAACCUGAGGAGGCCGGCCUCGCCCCGCCGGCGCCCCAGCAGCCGCCCCAGCAGCCGCCCCAGCAGCCGCCCGCCCGGCCUGGCCCCCCGCGUGGAGCCCAUGGGUCUCCGGGAGGGCGCCCAGCUCGGCGCAGCCCAGCGCCCCCAGGCCUGGGAGGCCCGGCCCGCCGCCUCCCACCCGGCGCCCCCCCCCCCCGUCCCCCCCGCCGUCCCCGCCGCCUCGCCCCUCCUGCUCCUCAGGCCCGGCUCGCCUCCUGGGACCUGCUGGGCCCCGGGACACCCGUGGACUCCCACCUGCGGCUGCAACGUCGGGGCGCUCCUGCGUGACCUCGGCCGCCUCGGGCCUCCGUCCCCAUCUGGGAACCAUGGGUGGGACCCUGUCCCUCCGGCCACCUCCGUGGGCCCCGGCCCGUCCUGCCGCCUGCCCCGCGGCUGCCUCCCCACGCACAGACCUCUGAGAACGCGCUCGGAGGGAAAAGCAGGUCACGACCACCACCACCACCACCAACCACCACCACCACCACCAACACCACCACCAACACCAACACCACCACCAACACCAACACCACCACCACCACCACCAACACCACCACCAACACCAACACCACCACCACCAACAACAACAACAACACCACUACUACUACCGACACCAACAAUAUCACCACCACCAACAACAACAACAACCACGACCACGACAACGACGACGACCUGGCCACAGGAAGCCCGGCUUGGCAUUCCAGGAAACCACUCGGGGAGCCUGAUGGGGGGAAGCAGAGGGAGGGGGCCACCCCCCCAGAAGGUGCUGUCGCCCUUAGGUGCUGUGGGGAGGCACAGAGAGGAGGUGGCCACGCCAGCCCCCAGGUACCCCAAGCCACCCACCCCUCAGGUCCCAGGAGAACACCCAGCAGCAGGGCUAUGGCUGUCCCGGAGUGCCCGGGCCCCUGUCCACCCACGCGAGGUCAGGGGGCUCCCCAGACAUCUGCCCCCCCGGAGCAGAGACAUGGGGGUGGCAGUUGAGGCACCAGGGCUUGAUGACAGCAAACACCCCACUAUGAGGCACCCCGGGUGCUGGAGAGACCCAGUUAGCGACUCCCUGAGCGGGUCAGCCCCAGUGAGGAGACGCUUGGGAAAGCUUCCUCCACGUGGGUGA
rnacentral:lncRNA from 1 species